rnacentral:pre_miRNA from 1 species
AGUGGGAUUGCUGGAUCACAUGGCAAGUGUAUAUUUAACUCUAUAAGAAACUGUCAAACUGUUUUCCAAAGUGGCUGUACCAUCUUGCAUUCUCACCAGCAAU